rnacentral:rRNA from 1 species
GGCGAACGGGUGAGUAACACGUGAGCAACCUGCCCCAGGCUUUGGGAUAACCCCGGGAAACCGGGGCUAAUACCGAAUAUGACCUCUGACCGCAUGGUUGGUGGUGGAAAGUUUUUCGGCUUGGGAUGGGCUCGCGGCCUAUCAGCUUGUUGGUGGGGUGAUGGCCUACCAAGGCGACGACGGGUAGCCGGCCUGAGAGGGCGACCGGCCACACUGGGACUGAGACACGGCCCAGACUCCUACGGGAGGCAGCAGUGGGGAAUAUUGCACAAUGGGCGGAAGCCUGAUGCAGCGACGCCGCGUGAGGGAUGACGGCCUUCGGGUUGUAAACCUCUUUCAGCAGGGACGAAGCGUAAGUGACGGUACCUGCAGAAGAAGCGCCGGCCAACUACGUGCCAGCAGCCGCGGUAAGACGUAGGGCGCGAGCGUUGUCCGGAUUUAUUGGGCGUAAAGAGCUCGUAGGCGGCUUGUCGCGUCGACCGUGAAAACUUGGGGCUCAACCCCAAGCCUGCGGUCGAUACGGGCAGGCUAGAGUUCGGUAGGGGAGACUGGAAUUCCUGGUGUAGCGGUGAAAUGCGCAGAUAUCAGGAGGAACACCGGUGGCGAAGGCGGGUCUCUGGGCCGAUACUGACGCUGAGGAGCGAAAGCGUGGGGAGCGAACAGGAUUAGAUACCCUGGUA